CCUUGAUGAGACAACUACUCUAUAAUCCAAAACUUCAAGCAGCAUGCCCGCUUCCAUUUGAUGAAGCUAAGUUGUGGAAGGGUCAACGUGGACCUGAACUGAAACAGAAAAUUCAAGGAGAAUUCAGAAACAUUAGGUUUUCUCAAUUUCUGUCAGCUCUCAUUUUGAAAUGCUUACCCUAUCAAAAGCUGUAAAUUUUUGACAUCAAAUGUAGAAAGGCCAAUCUAGGACUUUUACCUUCUCCUUUAAGUAACUUGUUAAUCUUUCUCCACUGUAGAAUUGGUAAAAUUAUCAUAAUUUUUUUUCUCUGGUUUCUGCCUUCCUUUUGAUUACUGUCUGUAGACUGUCCUGCCUAUGUGGAAAUGAUAUAACUAGAC
rnacentral:lncRNA from 1 species